rnacentral:rRNA from 1 species
ACGGCUCAGUAACACGUGGAUAACCUGCCCUUGGGUCCGGCAUAACCCCGGGAAACUGGGGAUAAUUCCGGAUAACGCAUAUGUGCUGGAAUGCUUUAUGCGUAAAAUGGAUUCGUCUGCCCAAGGAUGGGUCUGCGGCCUAUCAGGUAGUAGUGGGUGUAAUGUACCUACUAGCCAGCGACGGGUACGGGUUGUGAGAGCAAGAGCCCGGAGAUGGAUUCUGAGACAUGAAUCCAGGCCCUACGGGGCGCAGCAGGCGCGAAAACUUUACAAUGCGGGAAACCGUGAUAAGGGGACACCGAGUGCCAGCAUCAUAUGCUGGCUGUCCGGGUGUGUAAAAUACACCUGUUAGCAAGGGCCGGGCAAGACCGGUGCCAGCCGCCGCGGUAACACCGGCGGCCCGAGUGGUGAUCGUGAUUAUUGGGUCUAAAGGGUCCGUAGCCGGUUUGGUCAGUCCUCCGGGAAAUCUGAUAGCUCAACUGUUAGGCUUUCGGGGGAUACUGCCAGACUUGGAACCGGGAGAGGUAAGAGGUACUACAGGGGUAGGAGUGAAAUCUUGUAAUCCCUGUGGGACCACCUGUGGCGAAGGCGUCUUACCAGAACGGGUUCGACGGUGAGGGACGAAAGCUGGGGGCACGAACCGGAUUAGAUACCCGGGUAGUCCCAGCCGUAACGAUGCUCGCUAGGUGUCAGGCAUGGCGCGACCGUGUCUGGUGCCGCAGGGAAGCCGUGAAGCGAGCCACCUGGGAAGUACGGCCGCAAGGCUGAAACUUAAAGGAAUUGGCGGGGGAGCACAACAACGGGUGGAGCCUGCGGUUUAAUUGGACUCAACGCCGGGA